GACGAACGCUGGCGGCGUGCUUAACACAUGCAAGUCGAACGGAAAGGCCCUGCUUGCAGGGUACUCGAGUGGCGAACGGGUGAGUAACACGUGGGUGAUCUGCCCUGCACUUCGGGAUAAGCUUGGGAAACUGGGUCUAAUACCGGAUAGGAGCCAUCUUUAGUGUGGUGGUUGGAAAGUUUUUUCGGUGUAGGAUGAGCUCGCGGCCUAUCAGCUUGUUGGUGGGGUAAUGGCCUACCAAGGCGGCGACGGGUAGCCGGCCUGAGAGGGUGUACGGCCACAUUGGGACUGAGAUACGGCCCAGACGCCUACGGGAGGCAGCAGGGGGGAAGAUUGCACAAUGGGCGCAAGCCUGAUGCAGCGACGCCGCGUGGGGGAUGAAGGCCUUCGGGUUGUAAACUCCUUUCGCUAGGGACGAAGCUUUUUGUGACGGUACCUAGAUAAGAAGCACCGGCUAACUACGUG
rnacentral:rRNA from 1 species